AUUGAACGCUGGCGGCAGGCCUAACACAUGCAAGUCGAACGAGUGGCGGACGGGUGAGUAAUGUCUGGGAAACUGCCCGAUGGAGGGGGAUAACUACUGGAAACGGUAGCUAAUACCGCAUACCAUCGGAUGUGCCCAGAUGGGAUUAGAUUGUAGGUGAGGUAACGGCUCACCUAGGCGACGAUCCCUAGCUGGUCUGAGAGGAUGACCAGACACAGGGGAACUGAGACACGGUCCAGACUCCUACGGGAGGCAGCAGUGGGGAAUAUUGCACAAGUGGCGCAAGCCUUAUGCAGCCAUGCCGCGUGUAUGAAGAAGGCCUGCGGGUGGUAAAGGACUUUCAGCGGGGAGGCGUUACCCGCAGAAGAAGCACCGGCUAACUCCGUGCCAGCAGACGCGGUAAUAC
rnacentral:rRNA from 1 species